GACGAACGCUGGCGGCGUGCUUAACACAUGCAAGUCGAACGGAAAGGCCCGGCUUUUGUGGGGUGCUCGAUUGGCGAACGGGUGAGUAACACGUGAGUAACCUGCCCUUGACUUUGUGAUAACUUCAGGAAACUGGGGCUAAUACCGGAUAUGAGCUCCUGCUGCAUGGUGUGGGUUGGAAAGUUUCGGCGGUUGGGGAUGUACUCGCGGCUUAUCAGCUUGUUGGUGUGGUAGUGGCUUACCAAGGCUUUGACGGGUAGCCGGCCUGAGAGGGUGACCGGCGACAUUGGGACUGAGAUACGGACCAGACUGCUAUGGGAGGCAGCGGGGGAGAAUAUUGCACAGUGGGCGGACGCCUGAUGCAGAAGUGCUGGGUGCGGGAUGACGGCUUUCGGGUUGUAAACAGAUUUCGAAGGUGACGAAGAGUGAGUGACGGUAAUGGGUAAGGAAGCACCGGCUAACUACGUG
rnacentral:rRNA from 1 species